AUAGACUACUAUAUUAGAUCUAAUCACCAUUGCAGUAUUAUGCUAUGAUUCUUCUGUUUUUUAUGUACAGGGUUUAUACCUACUGACAUCUAUUAUAUUGGGGUAUUUAUCCUUAUUUUUAUUUUGAUUUACACAUUCACCUAAGGUGGAAGCAUCACUGAUAUAUAUCUUUGUGAAUCUAUUAUAUGUGCUGCACACUUCUUUGUAUUGUUGUGUUUUGGUUUCUGU